AAAAGUGGAACAAAUUGGGCUGUGAAGUUUUGCCUCAUCUGCCAUAUUCACCUGACCUCUCACCAACCAACUACCAUUUCUUCAAGCAUCUCGACAACUUUUUGCAGGGAAAACGCUUCCACAACCAGCAGGAUGCAGAAAGUGCUUUCCAAGAGUUUGUCAAAUCCUGAAGCACAGAUUUUUACGCUACAAGAAUAAAACUUAUUUCUCACUGGUGAAAAUGUGUUGACUGGAAUGGUCUUGAUUAAUAAAGAUGUGUCUGAGCCUAGUUACCCUGUCACCAGGAGGCUCAGGUUUUCCUCCUUGGCCUGGCAUCUGAAGGCCGCAAGCCAAGGAAAAGGCCAUCCACAGUGACCCUCAGUGCCCCAGAAACCCAGUCCCUCAGGCUCGGCUCACCAAGGCCAAUCACAGCACCCCAUCCCCACCCUGUUCUCCCAGUUUCAAGUUGAAGGCGUCUAAGAGACUGCUCCACGAAUGCCAGCCAAAACCAAAGCAGUUUAGCUACAAGGACAAUUCCAUAGUGUGGUAAAUAUAAAGCGUCACCCAAAUAAAAGGCAUUUUGGCAGAUACAUAACAAUAUUAAAACAUCAGGGCUAAAAGUUAGGGACUCAGAUCCCUCAGAAUGGAAAAGUCUCUCUAAACAAGCAAGAUCUGGCUCAGGGC
rnacentral:lncRNA from 1 species